AUAAAAGCAGGCUGCCCCCAAGCCAGCAGUAGCAAAGCUGUCCGUUUUGGUUUCUCACCGUGGAAGCUUUGUUCUUUUGGUCUUUUGUAAUAGGUCUUGCUGUUGCUCAGUGUUUGGGUCUACAUUACUUUUGGAGCUGUGGCACUCCGCGUGAAGGCUUGCAGCUUCACCCUUGAAGCCAGUGAGACCAUGAACCCACCAGGAGGAGUGAAGGCUGUCUUGUCUUAAGUAGUCCUACCGGCUGUAACGGUUGUUGUGAAAGUCUGUAUCCUCACUCGUGAGCCAGCAAGACCAUGAAUCAACUAGGAGGAAGAAACUCCGAACAUAUGCGAACAUCAGGAGGAACAAACUCUGGAUACGCUGCUUUUAAAAGUUGUAAUGCUCACUGAGCAGGUUUGCGGCUUCAUUCUUGAAGUCAGUGAGACCAAGAACCCACCAAUUCUGGACACAAAAUCUGUUUGCCUGUUUAGAGGCAUACUACGGGGUUACAUUAGAAGCCCACCGAGAUAAUCCAAUACAAUCUUCUGAUCUCAAAAUCCUUCACUUAAUGACAUCUUUGGCAACUUGAAAUAAUAAUCACAGGUGUCUGACUUUUAAGUUUAUGUCAGGGUACUGGUACACCUUGGGCUUCACAGAGAACACACACAGUGCCAACCCUCUGCUCCGCUGCUUUACCUCAGACUUGGACAUCAACAACAGGAAGGUGAAACUGCAUUUUGAGGACAAGUUCACAUUCACAGCCCACCUGGCACUGAAGGAAGAUGGAAUUACUAUCCUCUGCUCAGAUAACAACCGAGGAAAGAGGCCCUACCCACCCUAUCCCAUAAGUGAGGAGGGAGAGGAACAUGAUUUUACCAAACUCCACAACAAAGAUGGCAGACAGCAUAGCUUUAGAUGCGCCCAUAGUAGACAUCACCAGUAAACUGCAACAUUUUCUGCAGAGUCCAGACAUGGCUCCACUUAAAUUUGCUCCUUAAAUCAGGGGCUAGAAACAGCAUAAUUUUUUUUUUGUUUUUUAAUGUUUAAUUUUGGUGGGUUUGUUGUUUUUGUGGGGUUUAUUUUUUAUUUUUUAUUUAUUUUUUUUUUGAGAUAAGGUCUCACUCUGUUGCCCAGGCUGGAGUGCAGUGGCAAGAUCAGGGUUCACUGUAGCCUCGACCUCCCAGGCAUAAGCGAUCCUCCCACCUCUGCCUCCUGAGUAGCUGGAACUAGAGGCAUGCGCCACCACACUUGGCUAAUUUGUGUAUUUUUUGUAGAGAGAGGGGUUUUGCCAUGUUGCCUAGGCUGGUCUUGAACUCCUGAGCUCAAGUGAUCCACCCACCUCUGCCUUCCAAAGUGCUGGAAUUACAGUUGUGAGCCACCAUGCCUGGCCUGUUUUGUGUUUUAAGCUAAAUUAUAUCUGGCUUUGUGCCUCCACCUCCUUGGCUGGGAGGACAUACAAAAGUGGUCAUUACUGGGACACUUAACUACCACCACCACCACCCCCCCUUGGAUAGAAUGGGAAUCCUGAGUGUUGGCCAGGAGAUAGGGCAGGGCCUGGCCUUAGUCCGGUUUGGUUGCUAUCACUUCUCUUUCUCCUGUCAUUUCCCAGUACCAGCGUUGAGUUUGGCCCUCUGCUGUUUAUCAGGCAUAGCUGCCACAGAGAAACUCAUCAGCAUUCCAGUCUGCCUCAGUCUGGGCUGCAAGCCUCCAAAGCCAAGAUGGCCAAUGCUAACUCCCAGGAAGCAAGGUGAGAGAACUAAGUUGUGUGACUCCAAAAGAGCAGAAACCAGGAACUGGAGAAUGGAGGACCAAAGAUCAGAGAACAAACGGUAAUCCAGAUGACUGAAGGAUGGAUGUUGUGCCCUCUGCCCUUUAGGGGAUCACAAGUCUCUGCUGUGAUUGAAGAGGGUAACAUACAGAAAGUAGAAUUUUACAAUUCCAUGCUUUAUAAGGUGAUGUCUAAAAAUGCACCUAUAGGAACAAAUGUGGAUUUCCUGGUUUUGAAUAUGAUUCUGAGUGGGCAUAUAAUAAAUGCUGUCUAGCAUUAUUUGCAACUGUAAAAUUAACAAUAGAGUUGGAUCUGAUUAGGAAAAGAAAAUCAGAAUUCGCUUUGUUCUUGUGAUCAUAGCCCAAGAUGCCCAGAAUGAGAAAGUUUCAUGCUGACUCAGACCAGCUUUAAAAAACAGGGAGAACCCUGCCACCAGCUUGUCACCAAAUAACCAUCCAUUAGCCAAGUAAAG
rnacentral:lncRNA from 1 species